AACGAACGCUGGCGGCAUGCCUAACACAUGCAAGUCGAACGAGACCUUCGGGUCUAGUGGCGCACGGGUGCGUAACGCGUGGGAACCUGCCCUUAGGUUCGGAAUAACUCCCCGAAAGGGGUGCUAAUACCGGAUAAUGUCUUCGGACCAAAGAUUUAUCGCCUUUGGAUGGGCCCGCGUUGGAUUAGCUAGUUGGUAGGGUAAAAGCCUACCAAGGCGACGAUCCAUAGCUGGUCUGAGAGGAUGAUCAGCCACACUGGGACUGAGACACGGCCCAGACGCAUGGGGGAGGGAGGGGGGGAGAAUAUGGAGGAAGGGGAGAAAGCAUGUGAACGGAGUGCGGUGGGAGGUAGGAAGGCGGUAGUGGGGUAACGAUCCUUCGCACGGGAGGAGAAGGGCAGAACGGGGAGAAUAAGCCCCGGACAAAGCCUUGCGAGCGGCAGCGGGAAUACUGGGAAGAGCACACGCCUGAAA
rnacentral:rRNA from 1 species